CACUGCCAGAGCCCUGCAAAAUGACCUCAAGCAGGCCACAAAUGUGCAUGUGUCUGCUCAAACGGUCAGAAACAGACUCCAUGAGGGUGGUAUGAGGGCCCGACGUCCACAGUUGGGGGUUGUGCUUACAACCCAACACCGUGCAGGACGUUUGGCAGUUGCCAGAGAACACCAAGAUUGGCAAAUUCACCACUGGCGCCCUGUGCUCUUCACAGAUGAAAGCAGGUUCACACUGAGCACAUGUGACAGACGUGACCGAGUCUGGAGACAUCGUGGAGAACGUUCUGCUGACUGCAACAUCCUCCAGCAUGACCGGUUUGGC